UACGAGUGCCUCAAGCGUUAUCCGGAUUUAUUGGGCGUAAAGGGUGUGUAGGUGGUUUUGUUAGUCUUGUGUUAAAUUCUUCGGCUUAACCGGGGGCAUGCAUGGGAUACGGCAAAACUAGAGGAUGCGAGGGGUCUGUGGAACUCAUAGUGUAGCGGUGAAAUGCGUUGAUAUUAUGGGGAACACCAAAAGCGAAGGCAGCAGACUGGAGCACUCCUGACACUGAAACACGAAAGCGUGGGUAGCGAAUGGG
rnacentral:rRNA from 1 species